UAUAAUCCUAUGGGUUUGGGGGUGCUGCCUCCAACAGGAACAGGCUGUUUGUUCCCUGUCACACACCUGUAACUCCUGCUCUCCCCAGGAAGCCCGAGACACUCCCAUAUUUGCAGCCGCUGUUCCCCAGCAGGGAGCCACAGUACAGCCAAAGGGGGCUGGCGGUCCAUGGCAGUGUCCCCCGUGUGCCUCAGAGAUAUGAGGACCAUCAGAACACACUGCCACCCAUUCAGGAUUCUCUCCAGAGCACAGAAUUUCUGCAGGGACACAGGACCCUCCCCCAAAAGCCCAGAGUGACCCGCGUGCUGGGCAGUUGUGGACACACCUGGAGGAGCCGUAAUGAGCAGAUUCCUGUGGUGACCAGGACACCGCAUGAGCCAGGCCCUGCUGCCUCACGGGGUCACCGGCCAGGCACGAUCCCCAAACACGUCUCCAGGGCACCAGGGCUCCUCCAGCACCCUGAGACUUGGACAGCCCUCAAGUAGCUGGACAGGACUGGGAACCCGGUGAUGCACCAGGAACGUCUCCUCAGCCGAGAGGAAAGUCUGACAAUAGCUGUCAGAGAAAUAACUUUUUAGUUGUAUCACAUUAAUAAAUAAACUUUCAAAAAUACA
ensembl:lncRNA